GUGGGGAAUUUUGGGCAAUGGGCGCAAGCCUGACCCAGCGACGCCGCGUGGGGGAUGAAGGCCUUCGGGUUGUAAACCCCUGUCAGGUGGGAAGAACGCUACGCUGGAUAAUACCCGGCGCAGCUUGACCUACCACCAAAGGAAGCCCCGGCUAACUCCGUGCCAGCAGCCGCGGUAAUACGGAGGGGGCAAGCGUUAUUCGGAAUUACUGGGCGUAAAGCGCACGUAGGCGGCGAAGCAAGUCAAAGGUGAAAGCCCUCGGCUCAACCGAGGAGUUGCCUUUGAAACUGCUUCGCUUGAGUCCGGGAGGGGGGAGCGGAAUUCCCAGUGUAGCGGUGAAAUGCGUAGAUACUGGGAGGAACACCGGUGGCGAAGGCGGCUCCCUGGACCGGUACUGACGCUGAGGUGCGAAAGCGUGGGUAGCAAACAGGAUUAGAUACCCGAGUAGUCC
rnacentral:rRNA from 1 species